GGCCGGGUAGCUCAGUCGGUAGAGCUUUGGAACGGCAUUCCGAGACCCCGGGUUCGAGUCCCGGUCUGGCUG